rnacentral:lncRNA from 1 species
UUUUUUAUUUUUAAAUUUGUUAUUAUUAUUAAGAAUAAUAAAAUAUGAAAAGUAAAAAAAAAAAAAAAGUUUCUCUAGCCUCAGAGUGAUUACAAAUAAAACAAACAAAUAGGUGAUUGGUACUGGAGACAACCCAUGAGAAAGCUAUGUUGGGGAUGUCACAGGAAAUAUUUAGACAGUUCAUACUUAACAUCGCACAGGUUUUCAACUCCUACAGAUAUCAAAACAAGUGCAAUUUCGGGCCAUAGGUUCAGUCCUGUGUUUUCUGUAGUCAUUAUCUACUGCAAAACGACCCUACCAGACGCCUGAAAGGAAGACCAGGUUUUGCUGAAGUAGUCAGAUGAAGGCUAGAUUCUGUUGUGACCGUCAGACUUUAAAGAUGAGCAUCUGGCUGAUGAUGAUCUGGGUCACUCACACUGUGGGAACAGGGACGAAGCCCUUCAUUGUAACACAGUGGCCGACAGUGGCUGAGGUGAUGGCUGGAGAAGAUGUCAUUUUAAACUGCAACAUUGUAGAGCUGUACUCCUCGUGUUCAACAGUGGCUUGGCUGAAAGUCAUUCCCGAGAACGCAACGAUCAGCCUGACCGACAGACUUCAGAUCCAUCCUCAUUACUCGUCCAACCAGUGGACCAGUAUUUGUACUGCUGUCAUCACCAAUACAACAGUGCAUGACUCCAGUAUGUACUACUGCGCAGCUGUGCACAGCCGCUUUGCUCACAUCGGUAAUGGAUCCAGAGUCAUUGUGAAAGAACACACUGUGUUUCCUGUUAUUGAUAUUCUUACUCCGCUGAUCACAAACGGUCCUUCGGUCCCUCUUCAGUGUGUUGUGAAGGGGGUCGAGGCUUCUCAAGUUCAUGUGUUCUGGACUGUGGAGGGGAAAAAGGAGAAAGGACAGCCAGUUUUGACACAUGGGAACGAUGGUGUCAUCCAGAUCACUAGGAGCCAGAUCCUGAUGACUGCUGAGGAGUGGGAAAGGAAGGUGCAGUGUGUGUGUGUAGUGCAGUUUGGAGGACAGCUCUAUAACAAGACCCUUCAGCCACAUGGUACAGUAAAACUAUAAAUCUAACAUAUGGAUUAGCAUUUUAGAUGAUUUCUGAAGGAUCAUGUGAUGCUGAAGACUGGAGUAGUGAUGCUGAAAUUCAGCUUUGAUCACAGGAAUACAUUACAUUUUUAAUUAUAUUCAAAUAGCAGCUUUUUUUAAAUUCUAACAAUAUUUCACAUUAUUACAGUUUUACUUUAUUUUCGAUCAGAUAAAUGCAGCUUGCUUUGGUGAGCAUAAGAUACUUAAAAGAUCUUACUGGGUUACCUUACCUUAGGUUACUUUGUUCAUUGUUUUUAUUUUCUAAUUAUCAUCUAUGUAUUGAAUAUUCUAUGAUUUUUUCUUUCUUUCUCUAAAUGAACUUUUUCAUAUUUUCUGUCUCCACAGAUGCACCAGAUGUGUGUUAUGCAGCAAAAUACAUAUAUUUGUCUGUCUGCUUAAUAUUUGCUCUCCUGCUUCUGGCAACAGUGGUUAUUUAUAGGCUGGGACGGAAAACCUUUUUGAUGAUGUCUCUAUGAAAACACAUAUAGUUUCAAAGAGCUUUCAGUUUAUGUCCAGUAUUUUGCUCUAACCCAUUUUUAUUUAUCAAACUUAUUUUGGUAUUUGGCAUUGCUGUACAUCAGAUGAAAGAAGGCAACAUUUACAAAUAUUUUGACAUCUCUUCCCAAAAAGCAUAAGUAAUUCUGAUAUUUAUGUUCAGAUCGUUAUGGAUCUUUGAUGUUUUGAAUAGUGUUGUUUAUAUUGUGAAUUGAAAUGGUCAAUUUAUACUUUCAUCCAAUAUGUUCUGAACUCUGUUUAUUCCAAUAGACUGAAUAAAAACACCUGAAUAAAAGAAACAUAUCGUUUGACUAACUUUUUCUUUAAUUUACACGAAUCUAAAACCAGAGAAAAUAAAAUAACUACAUAUAUAAACAUAUUAUUUUCAUAUAUUAUGUUAUUUGUGAUUACCUAUAGCCUAUAAAAGUGUCAGUUUGAUAAUUGUAAAGUACAACAACAACAAUUAUUAGAUAUUAUGCCUUAUGUGGCUUCUGUUAUGUGUGGCAGGGUCAGGAAGUGAUUUUUUUUUUUUUUUUCAUUUUCUCAGUAUUGUUGUAUCUCUGUGUCCUCUUUAUUGUGUGGUUUCAUGUAUCAUACACGCAAAAUGGUGAUGUGGACUUCACCUCACAUUGGUUAAUGUCCUCUCUUUACUUUGUCAGCGGAAAAAACUUCAGUCUCAAAUGUACCACAGUGGAACCUCAAAGAUGCAUAAUUCCGACCCAAAAAUUCUUUGGUGGAAGAAAAAAAAUUGCUGAUUUUGUUCAAUUGAAAUAGGACACAACCAUAUGCCACAUCACUUCAGUCUUAGAUCAUGUUCAUUAGUUUAGUUAGUAAUGUUUUAUGUUAAAUAUAAGACAGUUUUUGUUGUAAUGCAUCAAGAGUGCAACAAAGAUGAUGUGAUUUUGCCGCUUUACUCAUCCCACACAGAAUUUAUGCAGUUCUCAUUUUAAAUUCUUUCAAGUUUCAAUACACCUUGAAAAACCAUAGAGUCAUACUAAUUAAAUUUCUUAUUUAAGCAAUAUCACAUGAGCAAGAGUGCUGUCCUUCCAGCUGUAUGCACAAGAACACCGAUUCACAGUGGUGCUGUUAUUCAGAUCAACAUACAGAGUUGUUCACUAGAAUAUAAGUUAAUAUUGAGUAAUGCACAUUUUGUAAUAAUGCCAGUUCCUUUGUUUUUUCUCCACUAACAAAACAAAAAAGCCAGAGCUUAAUCAGCAGUUGUGUGAGCAACCCACAGUAAAGUGUCUCAGUCAUAAAUUAAUCUGUUUUGAACUAAUAAGAUGAGUGAAUGAUUCAAUGACACGUAAUGUCUUUCACUUGUUCCUUUCAUGAAUGAAUCAGUGUUUAAAUGAAAGGAAAUUAAUUGGUUGAAUGGAUCAUUCAGUGACUCGCUGUUAGGACAGCCAUGAGUCACCAUUUACUAGCGAAAACAAUAAUCUUUAGAAAAUUUCACAGAAAAAUCCAAGAGGGUCUGGCUGCAGACGUGCACUUGCACUUGUCAGACUUGCAUUCUCCAACUUGCACUCUCAGACACUUGCACUUCCUCUAGUAACAUCACUUGCAGUCUUUAUUUUUUAUUAAGUUGAAUUUUUUAUAACUUUUUGUUUGAAUUUCCCAACACUUUAUAACAGUAGCCAGGUGGUGAAGACAAGAAAAAAUAAUCGAAAUUACAAUAUCACUUGCAAUCGCUGCUUGCACUUUUUGCAAUCGACACAAUAUACACAUUGUCGUAUUGACACAUAUAGUAUUUUCCUCACAUACCGAAAAAUGUGGCAUAAUGGAUAAUAAAGGUCAAACUCAAUAUGCUUCUCUACAUUAUUAAAAUACAUAACUAAUAUGUACAGGCAAGCAGGUGAGCCCAGACUAAAUGCAACACGUAAAGUUUCGGGUUGAGCAUUUUUCCAUAUAGAAUAAACUGUCUACAACUCCGUCUUUGUCCAUUAUGAUACAUUAUGUGUUUUAUUUAUGAUGAUUUUCUAUAGGAGGAAAAAGUUUAAUGUACAAUUCUGUACUCGUCUGCUUGCCUGUAUGGAGUUGAUCCUUUUAAAAUCACUUAAUGCAUUUCAUAAUGCUAUUAGGCCAAGGGUGACCCCCCAGAGUUGGGUCAGGUCAAAGUUUACACUCCAGAGUCGGGUCGGGUCAGGUCAGGCACGUGCACAGGUAGGGCUCAACCUGUGCAGAGCACAUGCCCUUUUUGCCCUUACACUCCGAAGUGCCCUUUUUUUGGUGUAGUUUUUUUUUUUUUAUCAAUGCUAUUGGUCACCCUUUACGUCUGUCUGUCUGUUUUACAAAUAUUUAGCAAAUGAAAGUGCUUAAAACGAGCUGUGUAAAUCUUAUUCGAUCCUCAAGCUGUCAGUAAGCUGAUAACUCCGCCCCCUUUAUAUUCAUUGAAUCAACAGAUUCAAUACGCAGUACAGUAGAUAACAGCGGAGCUGAACAAAGUUUUGCGAAGGGUAAAUAAAUAUCUUGUUGUUUGAAUAAGUACUACUAAACACUGUCUAUAAAGGCUCAUAUUUUAU